rnacentral:lncRNA from 1 species
AGGACUUAGCCAAAUUUCAACCUUUUUCACCAUUUCUUCUCCGUUUUCGCUCGUUUGACUUCCGAUUCGUCUCAAAUCGAACCGAGACUCUCCAAACAUGUUUCCAAACAUGUUUUAAUCAUCUUUCCAUCCUCGCUAAUGCCGGAUUUAGCUCACGGCCCAACAUAGCCUUUCGGCUCCGUUUUAACGCCUACGCGCACCGAAACGCCCGAAUGCUUCCGGGCCUCACCGAACUUCACCGGAACCUUUCAAAUGGUCUUCCAACCAAAUGUACACCGUAACUUCAUGAUUUUAGAAGUCCGAUACCUUACAUCCUCCCCUCCUUAAUAAGAGUUUCGUCCUCGAAACUAACUCUCCUCAAACCCAAAUCACACCCUAAUUCUCUUUAUUGAGUGACA